CACCACAACCACCUUCACCAUAACCAACACCACCACCACCACCACCUUCACCAUAACCAACACCAUCUUCAAAAAAUAAAUGGAAGACCAUUUUUAGAGUUUUUUUUAUGAACUUUAAACAACUAGCUUGAUUUUAGUCCGCGAGUAGCUUUGAGCUUGAGUUGGAUUGGAUGGAUCCCCAUCUAAACGGUUAACUGAUUGAACCACAGUACCACACAAGAAUACUGACACACUGCCUCCAUUUCAAUAUUUAAUUUUCAACGAAUCCGUACUCAAUAUCUGUAUGCCUAUUACCAAACACACAUUCAUUCGUCCUUUCACACACCCCCCUUUCUCCGAUUUCAAACCUCCACUCACGGCGGCGCCGGUUAUUCUUCCAUUCUUCCAAUUCCAUAGACAAUAACAACCAAACCGAAACUGUUCGAAAUCACGUACAUUACAACCACACCGAUCCUUCCAAAUACCCUAGAUGGAACGCUAGGGAGAGCUUCGAAUUCAUGUACGCAAGACCGUGGUAACGAGUCAAUGAGUUUUACUUGAAUACCGUCCGUGGCAACUUCUCUUUCCCUCUUCUAUUUCAAUCUCAGACCCUUCCUAAUCUCGACGAUUCUGGAGUUUCAGUAGUUUUUGAUGAGGUUGAGUUGGAAAGUGGUGUAUCCAAAGAUCGCAGUGGGAAGUGGGCAAGAUUAAAUUUCAAAAUUGUUCUUUCGUAUCACGGGGGUUCUUUUGAUGGGUGGCAAAAGCAGCCAAAUUUGAAUAUGUUUUGGCUUUGGUCAUAUAACAUGUAACAUGCUUUUACAAAUCAACUUUCUCCUUUUGUGAUCUAUAAAAAAAUUCUAAAGUUUAUUAGUUAAGCUCUAAGUUGCAUAUACAAAUGUAUUCGACAAAACCAUGAUACACUAGUCCAUAACAUGGUACAGCUGUUUCUCCGUCUCUCUCUUUGCUGCUUCAUGCACUCCUUCUGUAGCGAACAUGCCUUCCAUUUAUUUGAUUGCUAUAUUUAUAUGGUAAACAAAACAAAUAAGUAUGUUUAAAUUAGUUUCUUUUUAUUGGAUUUUCAUUCUGCUUCUCGCUCUUGCACAAAUUUCUUGAUACAACAUAGUAGAAGCGGCACUUGGUAAAUUUGUCGAUGAAAAUAAAAUUCAACUGCUCAAGGACAAAGGUCUUCCUAUUGAAGGUUGUGCUGCUGUUGCUGGUCGAACAGACAAAGGAGUGACAACCCUUCAACAAGUUUGUUCUUUCUGUAAGUUGUUCCCCUAUUCUUAUCAUUGUUGUUACAAUGUCCAAACCUUCUUGUAAAUGAAUUGAUACAUACUCAAUAUCUGCUGGGUCUUGCUUGUUAAGCGGUUUAAAACAAUCAGAUAAUGGAAAAAAUAAACAAUUUUUUAUUUUUAUUUGAGAAGCUUUUUUGACUGAAAAAAUAUAGUGAUAUUAAUAACUUUUGAUUAAAAAGUGCUCUUUGUUAUUGUAACUAUUAUUCCUCGUGGAACAACAGCUCUUGGGUUUGAACAGCAGCUCUUGGUUAUGGUGAAGGUGGUGGUGGAAACUAUUUUGUAUUAGUGGUUAAAUAUAAUUCAAUUAAUUAUUUAUACAACCCUUUUGCCACAUCAUCCAAAGUCAAAGCCCAGUAAGCAAAUGUGGUAAAAGCGUUUGGUAAAUCCAGGUUUUGGGUUUUAUAAGGGGCAUUUCGUAAAAAAAAACAUUCAAGGGGGCCAAACCGAAACUCGCUAUAUUGGCAGGGGGUGAAGUAUAUUAAACCCUUAAAAAUAUUAGAAAUAGUAGCAAAAAUAAAAUAUUAGUAUUUUUUUCUUAAUUAAAAUAUAAUAAAAUAAUAAGAUAAAAAGAAAAUAUGAGUUUGUAGAGAUAUUGAGGGCAAAAUGGGAAUUAAAGAGAAAUGUGAGGGUAAAGUAUGAAUAUCCUAAUGAGGGAACUAGGUUUUUAUUUUAAAAAGGGAGUUGAGAGAAAUGAGUGUUAUCAGUACAUAGAAUUAUUGAAGAAAAAAAAUGCUAGAGCUCAAGGAGGAGAGGGAAGAAUCAACCUUGAUCAAUUAGAGAACUUGCUGCUGGAAAAUCUAAGGUAAGUGAGAAGAUUACUCUACUAUGAUUGUAUAUUGUUUGAAGGGUAGAGAGAGAUUCUCACCUCCUCUAAGUUUUUCCUUCUUUUUCACCAUGAUUGGAGCUUUUGUGUUCUUGAAAAAAUUGUGUGAAAUUUGUAAUAAUUGUUAUGAUUGCUAUGAAAUUCGUGCUCUAAAUCAUUGAUGAAUUUUGUCUAUGAUAUGUAUGUGCUAAAUUUGAGUUGAGUGUUCAUGUUCAUGAGGUUUUGAUUUGAUCAACAUGAUUCAUAGAUUUGGGUUAGAUUGGUGAUUUAGAUGAGGAAUCUGUUUGGUAAUUGAUGUGUUGGAUGUUAUGUGAGUAGGUGUGAUUACUCACGUUCAAAAACUAAAUUGAGAUAGGUCUAGGUUAAAAAAAUAAGCUUAGAAGUGAAUCUCUUGUGAAUAAUUAGCGGAAAAUGCUAUAGACUGAUUUGAUUCGAAUUAUAGCUUUUAUACUAUAAAUCUGAUUCGAAUCAGGGCAUUCUGGUAGCCUUUGUCUGAUUUGAUUCGAAUCACAAUUUACACAUGAUUCAAAUCAAGAAGGUAAAUUGGGUUAAAAUAUUGUUUUUAUCAUAACUUGAGUUUUGUGACUUCGUUUGAGGCGCGAUUCGAAACAUUGGGUAGCUAAUGCGUAGUACUAUCUUAUAGCGAUGCUUUAAGGAUAAAAAUAUGUACUUGAAAAUAUAACCAAUGUAUCUUACGGUGACAAGGUAUAUGAAAUGGUUAUGGAAUAUUGAAUAAUCAUGUUGUGAAUGAUUGAAUUAAUAUGGAGGUUGAUGAUAGAAUGAAUUGAUAUGCAUAAGUGUUAUGUGCAUGUUAUUUGUUGUGGUGAUAUUGUUGGUGGUGUGAACGGUCAGAAGAGGGGUCAAUAGUGCAUGUGUAUAGUUGCAUGUUAUUGUUGAAAGUCAUUCAUAAUGGUGUACGAACUUCGGUUCAGUUUUUGUGUGCUUUGGUCCAAUGGUGUGGAUUCAGAAGCGAGUAGCUGGUGCAAGAUGGGAACCUGUGAAGCGUUACUAAAGGCAUCGGGAAAAAUAGACUUGUGUUGUCCAUAACGGUACCACAUUUAUAUUGACUCGGGAGAGGGGUACAUUUGCAUAUAUGUUUGCAUAUGUGAUUGAUUGUUUAUGGUGUUGUUGAUUGGUUGAGAAUAGUUAUGUGGUGUGUAAUUUGGUGAUUUGUGUGAUUAUGCUACCCUUGCUUUACUUUACACCAUUAAAAUAUUUUGAGUACAGACGAGCAGAUAAAUGAGUAGUUGCUUAGAAGCUGAAGGAUGACAUUGAGGUGGUUUUUUCCCGUUGUUUAUGCUAUUAUUUAGAUUUCCGUUGCUUUGAUUUGUAACACUAGGCGAAUCAACAAUUAUGUAUUUCUAUAAUUUACUUUGAUGUUGAUGUUGCGAGAGUUAAAAUUUUUAUGUUAUGCAUUCUUGAGUUGGAAUACAUUUUUUCAUAACUAAGUUUUAUUUUAAAAAGAACGUAUUAUGAGACUAAAUUGUUGGUUGAGCUAUUUUAUUUGAAUAAUUAUACUGAGAUGAGCCUAAGUAAAGACGAGCAUGUGAUGACAGGUGUUAAAUUAUUGCAUGAUGCUUGUUAACCCGUGUUACAGAGCAAGUUGUUGUUGUGUCGAGUGACACCCUAUGUAUGUUAUUAUUUAAAUUUGUAAUAUUUACGCGUGGGUUUUUAGGGUGCUACAUCUUUCAUGAUAAUGAGUCUAGAACACUUUGAUUUUAGUUCUCACUUUGAAUAAUUAAAGAGUGAUUUAUAAUAAAAUUAGUUUUUGUUAUAAAUUGAAAAACAACGGUAAGUUUUUUAGUAAUAUUUGUCAUGCUAAUAGGACCUUUAAAUAUAGUAUGUCUAAAUGUAACUAUCGUGGUUUGUGUAUGGCCUGGGAACUUGACAUCAAAUACCUGAUGUAUUACUCUGACUUCAACUAUGUUUUCAAGCUUAUCUUAGAGUCCGUUAAUGUUUGGCAUCACUAUAUUGCCUUUCUUCACAAUAUUAAAGAGCUUCUCUAUAGAGAAUGAUAAGUUCAAGAAUUUCAUACUCUUACGAAAGAGAAUGUUUGUACUGACUAUCUAGCAAAAUCUGAGGCUGAGAAUGAUGUAUUAUACCAGUCUUUUGCCAAGCCUCCUAUUGGAAUCAUCAUUCUCUUACUAGGUGAUGCUAGUGGGACUUUAUUUUUAUAUACUUUUUUUUUUUGUUUUUUCUUUUGCUUUUUUCACUUGCUAAAAAAAAAUUAACUA